GACGAACGCUGGCGGCGUGCUUAACACAUGCAAGUCGAACGCUGAAGCUUGGUGCUUGCACUGGGUGGAUGAGUGGCGAACGGGUGAGUAAUACGUGAGUAACCUGCCCUUGACUCUGGGAUAAGCCUGGGAAACUGGGUCUAAUACUGGAUAUGACAUGUCACCGCAUGGUGGUGUGUGGAAAGGGUUUUACUGGUUUUGGAUGGGCUCACGGCCUAUCAGCUUGUUGGUGGGGUAAUGGCUCACCAAGGCGACGACGGGUAGCCGGCCUGAGAGGGUGACCGGCCACACUGGGACUGAGACACGGCCCAGACUCCUACGGGAGGCAGCAGUGGGGAAUAUUGCACAAUGGGCGGAAGCCUGAUGCAGCGACGCCGCGUGAGGGAUGACGGCCUUCGGGUUGUAAACCUCUUUCAGCACGGAAGAAGCGAAAGUGACGGUACGUGCAGAAGAAGCGCCGGCUAACUACGUGCCAGCAGCCGCAGUAA
rnacentral:rRNA from 1 species